rnacentral:rRNA from 1 species
GAAUUCGCCCUUAGAGUUUGAUCCUGGCUCAGGACGAACGCUGGCGGCGCGCCUAACACAUGCAAGUCGAACGAGCGAGAGAAAGCUUGCUUUCUCGAGCGAGUGGCGAACGGGUGAGUAACGCGUGAGGAACCUGCCUCAAAGAGGGGGACAACAGUUGGAAACGACUGCUAAUACCGCAUAAGCCCACGGGUCGGCAUCGACCAGAGGGAAAAGGAGAAAUCCGCUUUGAGAUGGCCUCGCGUCCGAUUAGCUAGUUGGUGAGGUAAUGGCCCACCAAGGCGACGAUCGGUAGCCGGACUGAGAGGUUGAACGGCCACAUUGGGACUGAGACACGGCCCAGACUCCUACGGGAGGCAGCAGUGGGGAAUAUUGCACAAUGGGGGAAACCCUGAUGCAGCGACGCCGCGUGGAGGAAGAAGGUCUUCGGAUUGUAAACUCCUGUUGUUGGGGAAGAUAAUGACGGUACCCAACAAGGAAGUGACGGCUAACUACGUGCCAGCAGCCGCGGUAAAACGUAGGUCACAAGCGUUGUCCGGAAUUACUGGGUGUAAAGGGAGCGCAGGCGGGAAGACAAGUUGGAAGUGAAAUCCAUGGGCUCAACCCAUGAACUGCUUUCAAAACUGUUUUUCUUGAGUAGUGCAGAGGUAGGCGGAAUUCCCGGUGUAGCGGUGGAAUGCGUAGAUAUCGGGAGGAACACCAGUGGCGAAGGCGGCCUACUGGGCACCAACUGACGCUGAGGCUCGAAAGUGUGGGUAGCAAACAGGAUUAGAUACCCUGGUAGUCCACACCGUAAACGAUGAUAAAUAGGUGUUGGAGGAUUGGCCCCUUCAGUGC